rnacentral:lncRNA from 1 species
UGCUUAUAUGUGAAGAAUAAGUGAUUUUUGAACAAUCCCGUUUUCAAAACGUAUUUUUUUUGCAAUUCUGCAGCAUUGCGUCGAAAAAUGGCCGACGCUAUAGCCGACGCAACCCAUUAUGUUGACUAUUUUUGACUUUUUGUUGACUUAUGCACUUGGAACUCAUUUUGCUUAGUUUUUCGCGUAGAUUCCGAUUCCGAAAUUAUUUUUCUGAGAUGAUGCUUGAUUAUUGGUGUUUGCUCAUAUUUUGGUAAUAAAAUAUGCUUAAUUAGUUUGAUUAAUUGAAUUAAAUAACUAAUUAUUGUUGAUUAGUUUUAGUAUCUUUUGAGUAUGGAAUAAAUGUGUUUUCCUUGAGUUGUUGAUGAUGAUUAUGUUGUUAACCCUUGUUGAUACAUUAUGUGUUGAUGAUUAAUGAGGAUGAUUGUUGAUGUUAAUUAAUGAUUGAUGUAUU